AGGGUUUGAUCAUGGCUCAGGACGAACGCUGGCGGCGUGCCUAACACAUGCAAGUCGAACGAGAAUCUUAUGACGGAGACUUCGGUCAACUGAAUAAGAGGACAGUGGCGGACGGGUGAGUAACGCGUGAGCAACCUGCCCUUCGGAGGGGGACAACAGUUGGAAACGACUGCUAAUACCGCAUGACAUUAUCCACAGGCAUCUGAGGAUAAUCAAAGAUUUAUCGCCGAAGGAUGGGCUCGCGUCUGAUUAGAUAGUUGGUGAGGUAACGGCUCACCAAGUCGACGAUCAGUAGCCGGACUGAGAGGUUGAACGGCCACAUUGGGACUGAGAUACGGCCCAG
rnacentral:rRNA from 1 species